rnacentral:rRNA from 1 species
CAGCCGCCGCGGUAAUACAGAGGAUGCAAGCGUUAUCCGGAAUGAUUGGGCGUAAAGCGUCUGUAGGUGGCUUUUCAAGUCCGCCGUCAAAUCCCCGGGCUCAACCCUGGACAGGCAGUGGAAACUACCAAGCUGGAGUACGGCAGGGGCAGAGGGAAUUUCCGGUGGAGCGGUGAAAUGCGUUGAGAUCGGAAAGACCACCAACGGCGAAAGCACUCUGCUGGGCCGACACUGACACUGAGAGACGAAAGCUAGGGGAGCAAAUGGGAUUAGAUACCCCUGUAGUCCCUGUCUCUUAUAC